rnacentral:sRNA from 1 species
GGUGUCAGCAUCUUUCUACCCCAGCGUGGAGAGGAAGCGCAUCCAAUAUCUGCAUGCAAAGCUGCUUAAAAAAAGAUCAAAGCAGCCGCUGGGAGAAGUCAAAAGACGGCUGAGUCUCUAUCUUACAAAGAUUCAUUUCUGGCUUCCAGUCCUGAAAAUGAUUAGGAAGAAGCAAAUGGACAUGGCAAGUGCAGACAAGCCAUGAGAGACCCCGACUACUCCUCAGCCACAUCGCACCAACAAUUCUCCUCAGGUCUAGGAUGGCAGUCACUAUUCAUGCCGGAUAAUAGAGAACUAUGUGACGCAGUCCUCUCAGGAGUCUGAGUUUACAGAGCCAACUUGCAGCACCUGGUUAUGCCUCCUUUCAUCUCAAAGCCAAAGAGCUGCCAGGUAAAUGGUUAUGUGGUCUAUGUUCCAAACAAACCACAUGAUCUUGCCUGUGUCACAAUGUAACAAGACUCUAGCUGGGUCCCCUGGUGAUGAGUUUCAGCAUAGAAUAAUGUUCAAGGAAAAGAAAACGAAAACAGUUUAAAUCUCUACCACAGCCUCACAAGCAAAUGCUAAGGGGAACAUACAUGUAAAAAGCCAGCAAACUAUCUUCAAACUCUUCCGUCCUUAAUGUCUUCCACGGCUAUUGCCCCCACAAUGGUCUCUUUUCUCCCUGCUCCCUUAUUAAAGAACUCUUUCUGAAACUCA